AUCCAAUAGACAAACAUUAUUCCUCUUUCCCUCUCACCGAAAAUAUAGAGAGAAAUGACUCAAUUUUAAAAUCACAAAAUAAUAAAUACAUUACCGUCAUUCCCUCUCGCGCAACAUCGCCACUCUUUCCAGGUCCCCACCGCUUUCCUCCUUACAACCACCAAUAACUAUGUCUUCCGGCGGAACUUCCGGCGGUGUUGACGGCCCCUCCACCACUACAUCCUUCUCAUAUCCACCGCAACAUUACUUCUGCUACGAAUGCAACCGCACGGUCUCUAUAUCUCCAUCGUCUCCCUCAGACGAGCUUUCUUGCCCCAAUUGCAAUGGCGGUUUCCUUGAAGAAGUUGAAAACCCUAACCCUUUCCCUUCUCCUUCUCCUCUCGCUCAAUUCUUCUCUCCUCCUACCUCCUCCGCCGCCGAUCAGCUUGCUCCUUUCGCCCCUUUUCUCUUUCCUCAAUCCUCUUCCGCCGCCUCCUCUUCUCCUAUUGAGCCUAUAGACCUCUCCUCCAUCUUCAGCGGAGGAGUUGUUGGCGGCGGCGGUGGUGGUAAUCAGAGAUCCCCUUUCCAAGACACUGAUGUAUUCAACCCUUUCCAAUUUUUGCAAAGUUAUCUCCAGACCAUGCGUGCUGGUGGCGCCAACAUCCAAUUCGUCAUCGAAAACACUUCCCCGGACCAAGGCGGUGGAAAUAUUCGGGUUCCGUCGAAUUUAGGGGACUAUUUCUUUGGCCCAGGGUUGGAGCAAUUGAUUCAGCAGCUAGCGGAGAACGAUCCUAAUCGAUACGGCACGCCUCCGGCUGCAAAAUCAUCCGUUGAGGGGCUCCCGAGCGUUAAGGUUACCGAAGAAUUGCUGUCUUCUGAUUCUUCUCAAUGUGCAGUUUGUAUGGAUGAGUUUGAGCUUGGCGCUGAGGCGAAACAGAUGCCCUGCAAGCAUUUUUUUCAUUCUGAUUGCAUUUUUCCGUGGUUGGAAUUGCAUAAUUCUUGCCCUGUCUGCCGGUAUGAGCUUCCAACCGAUGACCCCGAAUACGAGCAGAGGAGUCGUGUCAGGAGAGAGAAUCUUGGAUCUGGUGGCAAUGUCAAUGAUGGUGGCAGUGGUAAUGAUGGAAAUGGUGAUGAUAUGGAUGUGUCGGAGGAGGGUUCGCAAAAUGAUCGGACUGUCGAGAGGAGGUUUAGGAUUUCUUUCCCUUGGUCAUUUGGAGCUGUUGGAUCUGCGGCGGAGGGGAGUAAUUCAUCGGGGGAUCGCAGCGACUCGAACCCUCGACGAAGGGAGAAUCCGGACUUUGGACCAGAAACCAGAACAGAGGAUCUUGAUUGAUGAAUUGUGUGAUUUAGGUCAAAGUUCAUCUAAUUCAUAUUUGCGUUGGUGAAAGAUUAUACAUCCUUAAUGAACUUGUGGGUGCAUCUGUAAGAUUUGGCAGAGAUACGAUUGUUUUUAUACAGUGAAAAUUAGCUGAGAUACAUUCUUAUCUUUGAUGGUAAUAAUUGUAGGUAAACUGUAUUCUGGUUUGUUGUUCAAAAUUGUUCAAAAUUGUUGAAAAAAUUGUCAAAUAUUGGACUACACAAGAAAUGUGCCUCUCAAAAAAUUUUGUACUUUUAAUGUGUAUUUUAUAUGAUGUGUGUUGUUUGGCU